rnacentral:rRNA from 1 species
UGGUGGGUUGCCUUGUCAGGUUGAUUCCGGUAACGAACGAGACCUCAGCCUGCUAAAUAGUCACAUUUGCUUUUUGCAGAUGGCUGACUUCUUAGAGGGACUAUUGGCGUUUAGUCAAUGGAAGUAUGAGGCAAUAACA